rnacentral:rRNA from 1 species
AGAGUUUGAUCCUGGCUCAGAUUGAACGCUGGCGGAACGCUUUACACAUGCAAGUCGAACGGUAACGUGGGGAGGAGCUUGCUCCACCCCGACGACGAGUGGCGAACGGGUGAGUAAUACAUCGGAACGUGUCCGCUCGUGGGGGACAACCAGCCGAAAGGUUGGCUAAUACCGCAUGAGUUCUACGGAAGAAAGAGGGGGACCCGCAAGGGCCUCUCGCGAGCGGAGCGGCCGAUGACUGAUUAGCCUGUUGGUGAGGUAACGGCUCACCAAAGCAACGAUCAGUAGCUGGUCUGAGAGGACGACCAGCCACACUGGGACUGAGACACGGCCCAGACUCCUACGGGAGGCAGCAGUGGGGAAUUUUGGACAAUGGGCGCAAGCCUGAUCCAGCUAUUCCGCGUGUGGGAUGAAGGCCCUCGGGUUGUAAACCACUUUUGUAGAGAACGAAAAGACAUCUUCGAAUAAAGGAUGUUGCUGACGGUACUCUAAGAAUAAGCACCGGCUAACUACGUGCCAGCAGCCGCGGUAAUACGUAGGGUGCGAGCGUUAAUCGGAAUUACUGGGCGUAAAGGGUGCGCAGGCGGUUGAGUAAGACAGAUGUGAAAUCCCCGAGCUUAACUCGGGAAUGGCAUAUGUGACUGCUCGACUAGAGUGUGUCAGAGGGAGGUGGAAUUCCACGUGUAGCAGUGAAAUGCGUAGAUAUGUGGAAGAACACCGAUGGCGAAGGCAGCCUCCUGGGACAUAACUGACGCUCAGGCACGAAAGCGUGGGGAGCAAACAGGAUUAGAUACCCUGGUAGUCCACGCCCUAAACGAUGUUAACUAGUUGUUGGGAUGUAACAAUCUCAGUAACGCAGCCAACGCGAGAAGUUAACCGCCUGGGAAGUACGGUCGCAAGACUAAAACUCAAAGGAAUUGACGGGGACCCGCACAAGCGGUGGAUGAUGUGGAUUAAUUCGAUGCAACGCGAAAAACCUUACCUACCCUUGACAUGUCAGGAAGCUCUUGUAAUGAGAGCGUGCCCGCAAGGGAGCCUGAACACAGGUGCUGCAUGGUUGUCGUCAGCUCGUGU